GUUGGGAGACUUGCACCUCUUAAGGCUGAUAUUGCAGUCAGGAGUCAUCCCAGCAGGUUUAGGUUAGGCUCAUCAGGUUGUUGUCUGCUAUUUUGUACUUUCUUCCUUGUCUGCUGUGCUCCCCACAACUGCACGACUGCUUUAGUACGCUGUCUCCGUAGCCUUCAUCUUCUGUUUCACAUUAACUCACUCUGGAUGUACGUGACAGAACAUUUGCUUUUCCCUGGCAGCAGCUGAAGUUUUCCUUGAUGAGCCUGAGAUCAAACGUCUGUAUUUGUUCAGAAUGUGUAAUCUUUCAUUUUCCAAAAGUGAGUUACUAAUUAACUACCAAAUGGGAACAAAAUGUAAACCAAGACACUGCUGUCUCCCAGACCUUUCAGUGCUCUCAUCUGGGGCUCCUUGAGCGCCAUCCUAAUGUGAAUGCCUCUCACUGAAGAUGCAGAGCAAGAAUUAUCAGCACUCUGUGUAGGCAGCGUUAAGUGCCUUGAAACAGUUUUCAGAACAAGGACUGGAUCCAGUGGAAGGGGCUAUGAAAGUUGAAAAUGGAUCACUUGAAAAACAAGUCAAGCAUCUGGGAGAGAAAGCAGACAAUAAACAGACUAACUCAGGCACCAUUGCUCAGGACUGCAAGGAUUCAAAGGCUGUCGUCUAGGAGCUUCCCAGCACCCACGGCUGCCACUGCAUCCUUAUAAACCUGUCAACACGCAAUAGGGUGUAUGUGUACAAGGAAAUGAAUGACUAAUACCAUUAUUUGAGUCUUAUGUGAAGACAACACUAUUCUAACACAAGAGAUAGUAUACAUGGUACUGUUUAUUCAACUGUGGAAAAAAGCAAAAUUGAACAUUUCCCUUAGAACUUGAGAUCAGAGCAUAACUCAAUUGCCCAGAGGCAGAAGAAAUCUGAUCAUGUUACUGGAGGUUAAAACAACAACUAAUUAACAAAAGUGUUAGAAAAAGAAAAAAAAACGAAAAAAAAAAGAUAAACAUUAAAAUUGAUUAAUACUGAGAAAAUCCAGUCAGCAUUGUUUCAGUUAUACAAUUUUUCGUAGUGUAGUUUUAAGUUCAGCUUACUGUUUUUUAAAUAAUGCUUGAAUAUUUUAAAAUUAACCAAUGACAGUGCUGUGAGAAUUGUAGUUGUUGUCUUCAUAUAUAGUCAUACAGCUUAUCUUUUUAUGCAGACAUUAUGCAUUCUUCAUUCUAUAUGAAUAUGUAUGACUUUAAGAUGCACUACUCGGAGUUGUAUGCAAACAGAAGUUUAAAUCAUGACAAGUAUUUGCUUAACAUGAACAGAUGUUAGUUAUGAUCAGUCUCAAUAUACUCCAGGAAAAAGCAAAUAUGGUAUUUGAUUUUCCUUGCCAUUAUCAAUUAAAGAGGCGUCUUGCCUCCAGGCGACAUGUUCCCCUUCAGUUCUGCUCUCUGUUGUGUGAAGCACAUCUACACCCCAUCUGUGUGUUGUAUCAGCCCACCGUUUGCAUCAACUGAGUGUUUUUAAUCUCUGCAUUCUGACCAACAGCAAAAGGUAGGAUUGCAACCUUAUCAAGCCAACGUAGGAAAACUGUUGAUGUGGAGAUUAUUCUUUUGUGAAGGGAGCAGCAGCAGAGAUAAGACCUGUGGCUGCGCUCUGUACCAGCAUAUCCCAUUUCAGUGUGUGGCCAAAUGCAGUAAAACCACAUCAGUUCAUGUGCACAA